GGCCUUAUGGUCUAGUGGUAAUAACUUGUGCUUUGAUUACACUUUUUUGUGAGCAUUAUCAUAAUGUCCCUUGUUCAAAUCCUGUUGUGGGCA